CGGAUAGAGGUGCGAUAACUGCGUGUAUACUGUCGGAGACCGCCGGGGUCGGAGAUGACGGUAGAAUGGCUUUGUCGCCGAAAAGCGGACGUGGCAAAUCUGACUUUGGGUGUAUGCUGGAACAGUAUAUGACUGUCAUCAUAAAGGCUUUAUGAUGGUGCGCUAUCG
rnacentral:ncRNA from 1 species